AUAGAAAUUAAGCGGGGUGAUUAACUAUGGCAGGAUCUGAGGCGCGGUGAGGAGAAAGCAUCGCUCUGCGUUUGGAAAUCAAGGCAAUCCCUUUCCGCUCGGAAAGGGAGCGAGGCAUGCACAGGCAGACGUGAGCACACAGCAUCAUUAACCCAGCCAGGUCUUUCCACAGAGUUAACUCCUCUCCGCGCCGAAACCCGGUAUUUCAAAGUAGCAGCGUAACGUGAAAGCCCAGGAUUUUUUAUUUUUUUUUCUCCGGUUCAUAUUUUUAUUAACUGAGCUUCACCCGCCUCGAAGUUACAGGUGGUAUUUACUACGGUUUGCGUUGGUGCUGUCAGUCAAACAAGUGUCACUGCGUAUCACCCUGCGCUAAGAAAACACACUUUGUGAUUGAAGAACGGCGUUGUGUUUGGACAUGCAUUUUACAAGUAACAAAAUCCAUUUAAUUGACAUGAAAAACACGGCUGCUGCUGGUAACUCGGGGGUAGGGUCCUGCUCAUGGCCAUAAAAAUAACUCCGGAGAGAACAAAGCCCUUCAGUCCAGAGGGCUGGCUGUUUAGGUAGCAGUGUGGGUGCCAUGCUUGCACAUAAUGAUUGUGUUUAUACAUGACAGGAAGCAUCUGUAAUCCACAGCUGCGGGUGCUCCAGCCCAAAGUCCUGAUAAAAUCUACACCUAUGCUGCUGCAUGAAUGAAAACAGACUUCUGGACCAGAGCGAAAAGGCAGCCUGCGUCCCUAAAGAAUUUUCCAUUGCAUUCCUGAGCCUGGUUCUGGAUUACUUUCAUCUCAGAUUGAAUUGAACCUUGUUGCCAUUCCCCAGUAGAUGUCUGAAGUGCAAAAUCUACUUGAUCAUAACUUUCUGUGUGGUUUACUGCAGGGUAGCAUGCAUGUAAAAACCCUGAAGUCAUGUGAAAUAGGAGCCUUGACCUCAAGACACAAUAAAGUUGGCUGGUUAGGUUGUA